CUAGGAUGAAUUGGUAUGUUGUCUUCGUGUUUCUUGCCUGAUUGAAGAUGAUGUGGAAGUGGUUGGGGGUUUAUUAGAUUAGUAGGAGGGACGUUCAAAGGGGGAAAGGGUGGCAUGAAACAAAAGGGGGGUAUUCUUUGUGGUGAAAAGGUGGGUGUGAAUCCAGGUGUUAGGAAUGUAUUUGGGGAGGCUGGUAUAUUGUCUUGUUGUUUCUUGCCUGAGUGAAAAUGAGGUGGAGAUGGUGGGGGGUUCAUUAGGUUAGUAGGAG